rfam:Orientia tsutsugamushi str. TT76 ut76.contig.1_1, whole genome shotgun sequence.
AAAAUCCAGUUAUGGAAGGAGAAGCUAGCUCCACCAUAUAGGAAGUCUUGUGCUGCAAAAGCAACAACAGUAGUAAAGCGUAGACAGUGAAACAUUCGAGCCGAAACCAAAUGGUGAACGUGAUAACCCUAAAAGUGUGAUGUAGUGGAAGCCAAUAUGCUCUACUACAUAGUAUGCAAAAGAAGAUUGGAGGUCAAACUAGUGAAAAUCCAAAAAUCUUCAACCACAGGGGGUGCAGGCGU